GUGCCAGCAGCAGCGGUAAUACGUAGGGCGCAAGCGUUGUCCGGAAUUAUUGGGCGUAAAGAGCUCGUAGGCGACUUGUCGCGUCGGUUGUGAAAGCCCGGGGCUUAACCCCGGGUCUGCAGUCGAUCGGGCAGGCUAGAGUUCGGUAGGGGAGAUCGGAAUUCCUGGUGUAGCGGUGAAAUGCGCAGAUAUCAGGAGGAACACCGGUGGCGAAGGCGGAUCUCUGGGCCGAUACUGACGCUGAGGAGCGAAAGCGUGGGAGCGAACAGGAUUAGAUACCCGUGGUAGUCCAACGGCCGUAAACGGUGGCACGUAGGU
rnacentral:rRNA from 1 species